CUCUUUCUGCCUCUCAGAUCUCUGAGCAAGGGCCAGUUACCUUCAACAUCUCUGGGUGCGCAGUGCAUGUGGAAGUGAGCACUUCGGUCCACCCAAGAGCGAAGAACUACUCAACUUGUUGAGCUACUCAGCGGAGAACUCUGCAGCCAAGGACAGGGCUCAGGGUACCAUGGAGAGCUGACUCCGACUGAGAGAUAUUCUUUGAGUUGUGAGAGAGACAGUGAUGAGAUGAAGGCUUUUUUACCAACCUGGGGUCUUAUAAGCACAGCUUAUAUGGAACACCAGUACCCACGGCAGAUCACGCAGAGGUGCUGUGGACUCAAGAGGGCAGAAAGACACCCAGUGUCCCAAGGAACCCGAGUUUGAAAACCACGAGACUGGCGAGGACUGCUGUGAUUAGCGAGACCUGCAGCAAGGCGCCACAAGGACUUCUGGAGAACAAGGCAGCCGAGGAGGAGCAGCGGAGACCUACAGACAGCAUUCAAGGGCUACGUGCGGCCACCAAGGGAAACAGGAACACCACUGGGUUGGUCUGGGUAUCUAGAGCAAAACAGUAGUCGUUGUUUAAGUGGCAGCCGAUGACACAAAAUCUCUCAGAUCGUGUAUGGCGCGCUUUCAGGACAUAACGGCAUCUCCUCUUACGGUCUCAUCGGCGGUGAAGCGAUAGCUGGUUUUACGAACUGCUGUGUUUACUUUAUACAAGGUGUUUCAGAACCACCAUCUCAUUUGCUUUUCAUAGCAGGACUUCCCCACGACAGAGAUGAGCAGAGUCAGUCUCUGAGGACUAAAGUAAUCCUGUCCCAGUCACACAGCCAGCAAGGAGGAGCAGCGCAACCAAGCCCAGGGCCUUUCUAAACAGCAAGCUUUCCCAUGAAGUCAGGACGCUUCUUUCUUCCCCCUCCCAGAUUGCCUCUUGUUCCUUUGUCUUGGAAAGAAAACCCAAGCAGAAGAAGACACCUUGUGUCUGACAAGUAACCUCUUCCUAGAAAUGGGGAGCAGAGUUCGAAGGGCUUAGUUUGGCUUUGACUUAAGAGGGGUGAUAAUAAGGAUUGGAAUAAUUAAAAAAAACAAACAGGAGUCAUAUAAAACCAAAAUCUCAAAAUAAAAAAUACGACUUUAGCAAAAGGCAGCCUGUCACUCCAGGUACUUAUUCAGCAUGAAUGGGGGGUACAGAGCUCUAUAUUAGCUUCCCCAACUUCCCCAGCCCCACCAUUGGGUUGAAAUAGUUCAUGCAGGUUGGGAUGAAAAGAAACAAACAACAUUUGCAGGACUCCAUUUCGUAAAUCCCCCGCAGGGCAGUGAUUGGCAGCUCCCUGUAUUUCUUAUAGCGCAUUUUACAUCCCCGGGGUGAGCCAAACAGUUGCAUUAAUGUAAAACAUGAGAAUAUCAAAUGAAAUGUUUAUGGAGAUUUUUCUACAGCUGUUACCUCAGAGCUCCUCCUUUAUAUGACUGUUGCUGGGGUUCCCCAGAAGUGCACAGAAGUAGUCUUCUAGUUA